CUUUCUUUGGCCACUUUUAUGGUUAGUAAUGUCAUCUCCUUAGUAAGGGAAGAUCCUGGCUCCCCUCCUUCCCCCAGCAAACUACAGUGGUUGUCUUACAGAGAGUUUGUAGUAGACAGAGUAAUGGUGCUCCAGAGAUAUCCACAUUCUGAUCCCCAGAAUCUGUGAAUAUGUUACCUUACAUGGCAAAAGGAGCUCUGGAGAUGUGGUUAAGUUAAGGAUCUUGAGAUGGGAAGAUUAUCUUGGAUUUAUACAGGCGGGUCCAAUGUAAUCAUAAGGGUUUUUAUAAGAAGAAGGUGAGAAGGUCAGAGGCAGAGAAGGAGAUGUGAUGGUGGAAGCAGAGGUGGAAGUGAUGUUCUUUAAAGAUGGAGGACGGGCCUGCAAGGCAAGGAAUGCAGGCAGCCUCUAUAAACUGGCAAAGACGAGGAAACGGAUUCUCCCCUGGAAACUGCAGAAGAGAUGCAGCUCUGCCAACACCUUGAAUUUAGCCAUAAAACCCAUUUUGGACUUCAGAUCUCCAGACCCAUAAGCUGCCAGCUGAACCUGUGAACACUUUGGCCAAACUCUGUUGGCGGAUAUCUCCCCUCUUCCUUUGUCCAGAUGUACCAGUGCUGAGAACAUUUGAGCUUUUCUCUGUGUUGCAUAUGGACGAAAAUGGUCACCUCUACCCAAACUCUACACCGGAAUUCAAGAACUCACCACUGUCUGAGCUUUGCCUCUGGGCCUAUUCCUGGUCCAGUCAUCUGAAGGGAAGAUGGAAGAUAUGAACAUCAGGGAGGAUGCAGUUCUUAGAGAAUGUACCUUACUAGGGAGGCAACAAGAUGUCUGCUACAGAGGGGCAUGUCCGAACUUUCCAAGACAGCAAUCUUUCCAUAAGACUCCACUGCUUAAGUAUUGUGGACAGUAGUAUUACUAUUUGUCAGUAGUUGCAUUUCUAUUCCUCACAACUGUUUCUACAGGAGGAUUAUACAUCCCUGCCCUAUUGAACUCAGUUAGAGUCAUGUGACUUGCUUUGGCCAACAAAAUGUCAGUAGAAGUGUCAUGUGUCACUUCUGAGCAGAAGAGUUAAGAGCCAGCCUGGGGUUCUCCAUGCCUCUCCUCCCUUUGCCAUCAUGCUUGAUUGGCAAAGUCCCAGACAGAAGGAGUAAAGACAUGAUGGAACACAGCUGCUUGUACCCGCAGGACAGGUAGAGGAAGAAAGAAACUUUUGCUAUUUCAAGCCACUGAGAUUUUAGAGUAGUUUGUUUUCACAGUUUAUUCUGACUGAAACUAAUAUAUCACAACCUAAAUCAUAUAAGCAGCAGGCAGAAAUGGGGAAAAAAAUACACUCUUACUUGAUAACCCCAUUUAAGUAGAGCUUUUAGUGACCAUGUAGAUUUCUAAUUACACCACAUUGGAACAUGUAGUUGGUAGCUACUCCCAUGCCCUACAGUCCAGUCUUAGGCAAAAUGAGGAAGCCGGCAAAAUGGUUGUUUAGUUCCUGUUUGUCCCCCUUCCCCUACCUCUGCUCCCGUUGCACAGGGACAUGUAUCUUUGAGCAGGCAUAUCCAGACUGCCCUUGGCCCUGGACCUCCCCUUUCCUUGCUCUCAUACCGUCUCAAGCUCACUUCUCCACCCUUCCCCUCUUAUAAACU
ensembl:lncRNA